AAUAUGAUGCUGAGGAUCGAACCCAGUGCUUGAAGUGUGCCAGGCGAGCGCUCUACCAUUGAACCCCAGCCCCAGACCAAAUGACAAGCAUUUUUACAAGAUUAAAUUGAGUUACAUUGAUGUAUUUGACUUAAUUAUCAAUGGGAAUGUUUGCUUUUUUGUUUUUGUUUUGUUUAGAUUUUUAUGGAAAAGUUGAAAGGAAAGAUUGCAAACUUGUAUUCAUUUUACACAGAUAAGUGUAUGUUAUCACACUAAGUUGUGCAAUAUAUAUGAUUCCCUAGACUCAAAAAUACAGUAAAUACAGUAAUAUAGUAAAACUCUAAUUUGGUUUUAUCCUCCCAAAGUUAUGAUGGGCAUGUAAAUACUUCUGGAAGAAGUUCAAAGAAAGAAAAGCCCAAGCAGCGUUACUGGAUUUGCAAACCUGUCUCAAUUCAAAGCGAGAAUGGACUCCAGCUUUUUAUAGUUCCCUCUAAAAAGAAGACUGGCACUUUCCAGGGAUGUUUGCUUUACAACCAGCAGGGCCACACUACACUGGGACUUGCCAUCUAACUUUUACCUUUUGUGGAAUGUAACUGGCAGCCUUGGAUUGUGGGAAGAACUGUCAGUGAUACCAAAUGCAACCACAUUUUGUGGCAUUUGGCAUCAGAUGUGAGAGACCAAGACCUAGUAGACAAUGGACUGAUUCCUUGGACAAAAGGAAUAAAGGGCCAAGAACCCUAGGAGCUGCCUUCUUUCGAGCCCAGUAGCCCCAUUCCUCUCCGCACAUCCCCUGUUUGGGGCUACUGUUCCCUUAGCAGCUGAGAGGAAAACCCUUUAUCUUUCCAUCCAUGAAUAAAGAGAGCUGUCCUACAAGGAAGAAUAAAUUGCCUGUUCCUUGCCAA